UACAGAGGGUGCGAGCGUUGUCCGGAAUCACUGGGCGUAAAGGGCGCGUAGGCGGCGCGGUAAGCGUGCGGUGAAAGCCCGGGGCUCAACCCCGGGUCGGCCGUGCGGACUGCCGGGGCUAGAGCACUGUAGAGGCAGGUGGAAUUCCGGGUGUAGCGGUGGAAUGCGUAGAGAUCCGGAAGAACACCGGUGGCGAAGGCGGCCUGCGCUGGCAGUGAGCUGACGCUGAAGCGCGACAGCGUGGGGAGCAAACAGG
rnacentral:rRNA from 1 species